rnacentral:rRNA from 1 species
UACGAAGGGUGCAAGCGUUACUCGGAAUCACUGGGCGUAAAGCGUGCGUAGGCGGUUCGUUAAGUCUGCUGUGAAAGCCCUGGGCUCAACCUGGGAACUGCAGUGGAUACUGGCGGACUAGAGUGUGAUAGAGGAUGGUGGAAUUCCCGGUGUAGCGGUGAAAUGCGUAGAGAUCGGGAGGAACACCAGUGGCGAAGGCGGCCAUCUGGAUCAACACUGACGCUGAGGCACGAAAGCGUGGGGAGCAAACAGGAGUUAG